GGAAGUAAAGGUCGUAACAAGGGUCUCCGUUGGUGAACCAGCGGAGGGAUCAUUACCGAGUUUACAACUCCCAAACCCAAUGUGAACGUUACCAAACUGUUGCCUCGGCGGGGUCACGCCCCGGGUGCGUCGCAGCCCCGGAACCAGGCGCCCGCCGGAGGAACCAACCAAACUCUUUCUGUAGUCCCCUCGCGGACGUUAUUUCUUACAGCUCUGAGCAAAAAUUCAAAAUGAAUCAAAACUUUCAACAACGGAUCUCUUGGUUCUG
rnacentral:misc_RNA from 1 species